GCUGUGGGCCCUGAAAGUUGUCGAGUGCGCCUGUCCCUGUGGUGGGAGCAGUGGCGCCGAGCGUGCCCACGGGCCGCCGCUUGGGUUUCUCUCGUGUUCAGGGUAGUAUGGACGUGGACAAUGGCAGUGGCCCCUGGCUGGCCCAAGAGCCGGGUCCAGAUACGCGCGCCUGAUUCCAGGCGUCAUAACCAACCCGGGGCCGCGAGGCUGGGAUCAGGCACCCCGGAGCCGCUUGCCCGUGGCCGGGCUGCUCUCCCCCUCUAAGCCUAAGCACCGCCAGUCGCGGCGCUGCGCUUUCCGCCGACCUCCCAGAGCGUCCCGCCGUCGCCGGCGGCCAGCCUCGCGCAGGACCAGUGUGGCGCCGCCCUGCUGUUGCUGGGGGGCGCCCGAGGCCUCCAUUCCUUGCCCAGGCUUCCGGCUCUCGGGGCGGCCUCCCUUCCGCCCACGCUCCAGGGCUUCCCCGGCUCCCGAGCUCCGAGCUUCCACCACAUCGGCCGGCUCAGGACAGGGCUUCCACUGUAAAGUCGGCUGCCAGACGUGUUGGAGCUCACCGGUUUUGUCCCUGGUGCCUUAUUUAGUUCACUUGGUGAGGUCAUGUUUUUUUCCUGGAUGGUGUUGAUGGUAGUAGAUGUUCUUCAGUGUCUGGACAUUAAAAUCUUGGGCAUGCAGCACCAUAUGAGAGGUUUAAAAAAUAAAAUUAAAAAAGAGAAAAGAACCCAGAGUUGAUCUCUGCAGCAUGCCAUCACUGCUGGGGAUGAGGAAACGGUGAUUUCAGGACUGUUUUUUCUGUCUCUUCAGUGCCUCUUUCAGUGAUCUGAGGUUAAAACCAGACUAUGGAGGAUUCAUCAACAGACCAGGAAGCAACAGCCUGGGCUCCAGAAUUGACCAGUAGUCCGUGCACAGACGAGGAGAGGUCCCAUGAAACUUCGGCGCAGUCUGGGAACCGAGCUCUUUUUGUAACAAGUUGUUUGUCAGGAGGCCCGGUCAUGAAAGCCCUUCCUGACUGGGCUCAAGGAAUACAAAAAGGACAACUUGUUUUUGCCAUUGUCUGUUGUUUUUCAAUAACUAGUUCUCCGAAACAGCACUGGAUGAAUGCCUCAAGGGGCUCACACAACUCGUUCCAGGACUUAGUGACCAUUGUUUCUGUCCCUGUUCAAUAGAGUUCAAAUUUAAUAUUUAAAUUUUGCUCCACAAUGUGCCAUAUUAUCUGUAUCCAACCUGUCAUUGGGCAUUUAGGUUGAUUCCAUGUCUUUACUAUUGUGAAUAAUGCUGCAAUAAACAUUUACGUGCUUGUGUCUUUAUGAUAGAACAAUUUAUAUACCUCUGGGUAUAUACCCAGUAAUGAGAUUGCUGGGUCAAGUGAUAGUUCUGCUUUUAUCUCUUUCGAGGAGAGCACUGUUGUGCUUUCCACAAUGGUGGGACCAAUGUACACUCCCAAGCAUCUGUCAUUUUUUGACUUUUUCAUAAUAGCCAUUCUGACUGGUGUGAGAUGGUGUCUCACUGUGCCUUGGAUUUGCAUUUCUCUAAUGAUCAGUGAUACUGAGCUUUGUAUUCUAUGGUUGUUGGUCACAUGUAUGUAUUCUUUUGAAAAGCAUUCAUGUCCUUUGCCCACUUUUUAAACAUUUUUUUAUUUCCAUAGGUUUUAGGACAACAGGUGGCAUUUGGUUACAUUAAUACCCAGUGGUGGGAUUGCUGAAUCAGACAGAGCCAAUAGACGAUCAGUAAUGGUGGCCAAUCAUCAGCUAGAAACAAAGUAUUUAGCAGUGCUUGAAAACACCAAAACUCUGAGACCACUGACCUUCCAAAACUUCAACAGCCCUGAGUGAAAAGUCCAAACACAUUUAUCCACCAUUCAAAGACCCUUUAUUUUCUGUCCUCUGUGCAUCUCAGUAGUCUCUUUUUACCACACUGUCUAUAUACUGCAUGAGCCAUUUACGUGAAACUAUCUGACACUCCAAGGCAUCUUAUACUAUAUAUUCAACCAUGUAUCCCUAGUACCUAGCACAGUCCUGGCAUAUAGUUUGCUACUAAACAUUUGCAGAAUGAAGGAAUUAUCUUGUAUCCAGGUUCAAGUUUUAAGUUGAUUCUUCACUAAACAAAGUAUUACAGUUCACAAAUAAUCUACUUCCUUUUUUACAAAUGGGAUCGAUCUUAAUCUUAUCCCCUAAUAACAUUACUUUCAUUUACUCCCAUCUAAAUAUACUGUCCUAAGAGAGCAAUAAGAAAGAGAGUUGAAGCUGGAGCUUGAAGAAUUGUACAUGGUCCUGUGAUAACCUACCUUGUUUUAACCUGAGUGACUGUCUCCUAGCAGAGAGCUGGACAGACUCCAUUUUAGUUUCUUCAUGUGCAGCCCCCUUUACCUCCCUCCCUUAAGGACAUAACUAGUGUAAACUGACUCAAAGCAUGUCCAGGAAUCACUUACUGUUAAGAUAUUGAGGCAAGCUGCGCCAGCAGCUCCUGGGGAUGCGCUCGGUGAAUGGCACCCAAAACCCCUGCAUUUCUCUCUUUGUGAUAGUUUAAGCCCCUGCACCUGGAACUGUUUAUUUUUUUGCAACUGCUUUUGUAACCAAUUAAUUUUUUAACUUUUUGCCAGCUCUGCUUCUGUAAAAAUUGCUUCAGCCAAACUCCCCCCUCCCCUAUUUAGACCACGGUAUAAAACCAAAACCAACCCCUUCCUCGGGGCCGAGAGAAUUUUGAGCGUUAGCUGCCUCUCGGUCACCAGCUAAUAGAGGAUUCCUUAAUUUGUCUCAAAGUGUGGCAUUUCUCUAUAACUCGCUGGGUUACAACAGUCCACACUGUGGCCUGAGGCGCAUCGCCCACCUGAGCUUCAUCUGUUAGGUAUGUCAGGGAAGAUAAGCAGGGUAAGGAUGGCCUCAUCAGAGGGCCCCAGAUCUCUAGCUCCCCCAUCUGGCAAGUGCACCUCUGUGAACAAAGUCUUCAGAGCCAGAUGACAAGAACGGCCCAAUCAGUCCACCAGGGAAACCUGGGCCCAGUGUACGUCAAUGCAGAGCAUCAAGCACGGCGUAACAGGUGCACAGUUGCCUAUUCCUGUUCAGAGAUAACUGCAUCCCACACACUGUAAAAUGAGGAAAUGCAGAGAAGCAGAUGUAACUGAAGAAGACAGCAGGAGCAACAAGGAGGGACAACCACGACCUAGGAGGACACCAUGCCAGAGAGGCCUGGACCCCACGCUAGGCUCAGUGCCUGUUAUACUCUUGGGACCCAGCGCUUUCCUUCUCCAUCACGUGGCAUACUUGGCAUUAUUUGUUGUUUAAAAUAUUGUCCUUAGUUUUCACCUUUCCUAGGAGACACAGGCAGACCCUGUGACACUACAGCUGGCACACAGUAGGUGCAUCACAAACAUCUGCUGAGUUCACACACUCUUGCCUUCUCAAACCUUCUUGUCAAGUCUUCAGUGAAAAGGAAUUGCUGAUUGAGCAAGAAUUAAACUUCUAGAGACUCCUGGAUCCACUGAAGUUUGAGACAAGGUGAGAUUUGUUUACUGCCAUAUUCCUAGCUCAUAGCAUACUGUAGUCACUUAAAAAAUGUUUGUUGAAUAAGUGAGUGAAUUGAUUCAAUUGUCAUACUUAGCUAUAUAUUUUCUGAGUAAAACUGAUAAAUUUAAUAGUUUACUUCUAGUAUAAUUUUACUUUACUUAUUCAAUGAACCUGACAAUUCAACUAGGUGCCAGGCACACUGCUGCUGAAGAAAAAGAGGUAUAAGAUACAACUUCUGUCUAUAAGAAAGCCACAGUCUAAAAAGUAGAAACAUAUGAACAAAUUAUAACAAUAAAUAGGCUAAAUUCAAAAUCAGAGGGAUUUGUUUCUAUUUUAAACAGCUCUAGUCAGGAAGUGUUAGAAAGUUCUAAACAGGAAAUGUUCCAACACACCAUCUAAGUAUGAAGCAGAAGUCACCCAUAAUUGAGUUUGCUGCCACCAACCCCAAUAGCAAGAAUUCCAGUCCUGCUGCUGCAAAGUGUCACUCUGAUUUUAUUACUGCUGUGUAACCCAGUUUUAGACACUCUGGUUGUCACUUAAUGUUCUAAAAAAGUAUUAAAGAGAAAAUAUUAUUAUGGUGAUGAGUCCAUCCACUGCAGCCAUCUCAACAUCAUACCAAUUAUAAACCCUAUCAUUUAAAAAGAAAACUGUUAGUUUAACUUAUUUAUCCAAAUAUCAGUAAUACAUAAGCAUAUUUGCCAUCAGACUUUGGAUUUAUGGGUUAAAUAGCAUAUAAAUAUGAUUAGAGCCUUAAAGUUUACACUUUUCUGGUUCGCUCAAAUGUUUUCCAAAAUAGCAUAUGCCUUUCUAAACAAUUGUUAGUAUAUUUUUUAAAAUGAACAUUAAAAUGUAUAUUUUCUGAAAACAAAUACAGCUCCCAUUGGUGAAUGAUGAUAUUGAGAUACGACAGGCAACUUCUCUUGGGAACCAUUUAAUCAGUGCUCACUUUUACACCCUUUUCCGAAAUGUCAAUGGCUUUAAAAUAUAGAAGUAUAUUAUACAACUAAACUUAACACUUAUUCAGUAUUGUGCAAUAUUUAGUACUUGUUCUAGCUAUCUCUUGCUGAAUAGUAAGCCAUUCCAAAACUUAAGGAAUUAUUUAUUGUUUAAUAUUGUUUAUUGUUAUUAUUUGUUUAGUAAUUUUAAAUAACAUUAUUUCUCAUGGUUUUGUGGGUUGAUGGGCACUACAAAAGUUCUCUUUUGGAGUGUUUCUUGCAGUUGUGGUUGGUUGGCUGCUGCUGAAGUCACCUGAAAGCUCAACUAGGCUAAAGAGCCUAGACAGGUCACUCACAUGGCUGGCAGUGCAUAUUGGCUGCUGAGUGUGAUGCCUAUCUGUCCUCUCCAUGUUACCUGGAGUCCUCACAACGUGGUAGUUGGUCCCAAGACACACAGGCAAAUACCACAAAGCUUCUUAUGACCUGGCCUUGGAGGUCCUAGAAUAUGACCUCUGCUGCAUCCUAUUGGUAAAGCAAGUCAUUGUGACCAGCACAGAUUCAAGAAAUGGGACAGUAGACUCUACCUGUCAAGGUAAAGAGCAGCAUGUGCAUGCAGGGAGGAAAGAAAUUGAGGGCAUCAUCUUGAAGACUAUCAUAUCACACUAUUAUUCCAGCUAAUGAACAUUAUGUUUUAGAUGGGUAGUACUAGCUACUCAUGUCUCCCCCAGAAACCCAAGCUAGGCAUGGACAUAUUGAAGACUAUCAUAUCACACCAUUAUUCCAACUAAUGAACAUUAUGGUUUAGAUGGGUAGUACUAGCUAUUCAUCUCUUCCCCAGAAACCCAAGCUAGGCAUUGACAUACUGAAAAGAAUGUCAAUACCAUUAAAAAACUCUAGAAAAAUUAUAUGUGAUGACUGAGGUUAAUUCAGUCUGUCAAUUACAUCAAUAUAAUUCCCUUCUUGUAACACUAAAUAUGGUGAAACAGAAUUGAAUUCUACAAAAGUAUUUC
rnacentral:lncRNA from 1 species